UGGGGAAUCUUGCGCAAUGGGCGAAAGCCUGACGCAGCGACGCCGCGUGAGCGAUGAAGGCCUUCGGGUUGUAAAGCUCUGUGGGGAGAGACGAAUAAGGUGAAGCUAAUACCUUCAUUGAUGACGGUAUCUCUUUAGCAAGCACCGGCUAACUCUGUGCCAGCAGCCGCGGUAAGACAGAGGGUGCAAACGUUGUUCGGAAUUACUGGGCGUAAAGCGCGUGUAGGUGGUCUCGCAAGUCGGAUGUGAAAUCCCAGGGCUCAACCUUGGAAGAGCACCCGAAACUGCAAGACUGGAGUCCUGGAGAGGAAGGUGGAAUGCUUGGUGUAGAGGUGAAAUUCGUAGAUAUCAAGCGGAACACCAGUGGCGAAGGCGGCCUUCUGGACAGUGACUGACACUGAGACGCGAAAGCGUGGGGAGCAAACAGG
rnacentral:rRNA from 1 species